GGCUCAGUAACACGUGGACAAUCUGCCUUAUGGUCUGGAAUAMCCUCGGGAAACUGAGGCUAAUACCGGAUAGGGAAAUUCUGCUGGAAUGCUUUUUUCCUUAACAUAAGAUGAGUCGGCGGCUGAUUAGGCAGUUGGUGAGGUAAUGGCUCACCAAACCGAAGAUCAGUCGGGGGGAUGAAAGUCCUAGCCCCGAGAAGGGCACUGAGAUAAGGGCCAUAGCUCUAAGGAGUGCAGCAGGCGCGAAACCUCUGCAAUGCACGCAAGUGUGAUAGGGGGAUCCAGAGUGCUUAUCUUAUGGGUAAGCUUUUGCCAAGUGUAAAUAACUUGGAGAAUAAGUGGUGGGCAAUACCGGUGCCAGCAGCCGCGGUAACCCCGGAGCCACAAGUGGGAGUCGUGAUUAUUGGGCCUAAAGGGUCCGUAGCCGAACCAAUAAGUUCUUUGUGAAAGUGUAGAGCUUAACUUUACAACGUGCAAAGAAUACUGUUAGUUUAGAGACCGGGAAGAGGCAGAGGUAUUCAAUCGUCGACCUGCAGGCAUGCAAGCUUUGGCACUUGGCCCGUCCGUUUACAACCGUCGUGACUGGGGAAAACCCCUUGCGGUACCCAACUUAAUCGNCUUGCAGCACAUCCCCCUUUUCGCCAGCUGGC
rnacentral:rRNA from 1 species